rnacentral:lncRNA from 1 species
AACAAACUUUAGCAUCACAUAGUUUAAAAAUGUGUCAUUUUAAAUGUACACUAAAAUUGCAUUUUAUUUCUUUCUAGUCAAACAAAAGCUCUCUGAAUGAAGAUUCAGAGAUUUCGUGGGCUUUGUCUAAAUUCAAAGUGCCCUCUACUGUCAAAAAUGUGUACUACUGAGAAAGAGAAAAUCUGACAAGUCUGAAAUAAAAAUCUAGACAGUGAGAGACAGAUGGAAGAAAACCAGGAAAGGUAUGCACAAAGAAGAAAUGCUUGACACAUGGAAGAAUUUUUUUAGUUUUGGGACUGUGUUAUAGAAGAAGUUAUGAAGAAAACAGUGAAUGAGUUUGGCAUAUGAAGAGGACACUCUUGUAAAUGAAGCAUUAUCCUCAGAGAUUUUCUUGGCUGAAAAUGCAUCAUCAAUGAUCAGUUCAAGAGGAAGCCUUAAUAGAAGGAUGCAUGAAAUCUUGGUGGUUGAGAUUUGGCAAGAUCAAUGUGAUAGCCAAGGUAAGAGUAUUGUUUAUCAAAUUGAGUCAUAUUUAGA